CCUACGGGAGGCAGCAGUGAGGAAUAUUGGUCAAUGGGCGCGAGCCUGAACCAGCCAAGUAGCGUGAAGGAUGACUGCCCUACGGGUUGUAAACUUCUUUUAUCGAGGAAUAAAGUGAAGCACGUGUGCCUUAUUGUAUGUACUUUAUGAAUAAGGAUCGGCUAACUCCGUGCCAGCAGCCGCGGUAAUACGGAGGAUCCGAGCGUUAUCCGGAUUUAUUGGGUUUAAAGGGAGCGUAGAUGGGUGGUUAAGUCAGGUGGGAAAGUUUGCGGCUCAACCGUAAAAUUGCAAUUGAUACUGGCAGUCUUGAGUACAGGUGAGGUAGGCGGAAUUCGUGGUGUAGCGGUGAAAUGCUUAGAUAUCACGAAGAACUCCGAUUGCGAAGGCAGCUUACUAACCUGCCACUGACAUUGAUGCUCGAAAGUGUGGGUAUCAAACAGGAUUAGAUACCCCAGUAGUC
rnacentral:rRNA from 1 species